rnacentral:rRNA from 1 species
UACAGAGGUCUCAAGCGUUGUUCGGAUUCAUUGGGCGUAAAGGGUGCGUAGGUGGCGCCAUAAGUCAGGUGUGAAAUCUCGGGCUUAACUCCGAAACUGCAUUUGAUACUGUGGUGCUUGAGGACUGGAGAGGAGACUGGAAUUCACGGUGUAGCAGUGAAAUGCGUAGAGAUCGUGAGGAAGACCAGUGGCGAAGGCGGGUCUCUGGACAGUUCCUGACACUGAGACACGAAGGCCAGGGGAGCAAACGGG